CUUGCGUUGAUACAGUUUUUAUUUUGUUUGCAACAUAAGCCGAAGUCUCAAGAUGAAAAACGGAGAUAAAAGUUCGGAUCAGUUGGAAUCGAACUAAAACUCAUCAAGAAUUUUCCAAGUGAUAUAUAGACUGUUGGGUCGAUACGUUAUAAGUUGAAAACACACAUACAAGCAACUUCUUUGCUUGUGAGUUCAAUUUUCCAUACGUGGUAAGAAGGGUUGUCUUCUCUUGCGUAUGAUCGGCAUAUUAACCAUGGUAUCAUUAUCUUGUGUUCAGUCAUCCAACCUGUUCUUCUAAGUGCCGUGCUCGCACAUCGGCCACACGAGAUCUCUUUUUGUCGCGGAGCACUGUUAUGUUAAAAUUGUUAUUUAUUUGAGAAAGUGGAAAUUUAUCACAAUGGUCGCGCUUAUGUUACAUUUACACCUGAGCCAGUAUAAGAGAAACGGGGCACAGGUUCACUGUGUUCUGUGGUAUGGAGAGUACCAGCUGCUGUUCGAAGUCAAAUUGUAAGUUCAGGUUAUUUCGGUCAAUGUAUUGAAUGCACUCGCUCGAUCUGUUGAAGGUUUUUCUAACGCUGCUUUUGUACGCAGGAUAUACACAACUGCUAUACACAUGCGUUACUAGCCCGAAAAUCAAAUACAAAGUUAAGCGCAUUUUAACGUUGUCUAAAGUUUUGUUAACGGUAUAAUUGUCAAGGAAUAUAAACACGUAUUUAUAUACGUGAAUG